rnacentral:rRNA from 1 species
UACGAAGGGGGCUAGCGUUGCUCGGAAUUACUGGGCGUAAAGGGCGCGUAGGCGGAUAUUUAAGUCGGGGGUGAAAGCCCAGGGCUCAACCCUGGAAUUGCCUUCGAUACUGGAUAUCUUGAGUUCGGGAGAGGUGAGUGGAAUGCCGAGUGUAGAGGUGAAAUUCGUAGAUAUUCGGCGGAACACCAGUGGCGAAGGCGGCUCUCUGGAACGCAACUGACGCUGAGACGCGAAAGCGUGGGGAGCAAACAGG